GUAAUGACCAGAAUAAACACAAGGAAGCUAUCAACAAAACUGGGGCAGCGUCAGGCUCCACCCCAGAUGCAGGGCUGUAGCAAUGGCCAGGAAGAAAAGUGCCCCCGCUGGAGGUUGUUUUCGUGAGACUGUUCUUUGGAGCAUUGUUCUAAAAAUGGGAAAUUACAUCUUACCAUGCCAAAGGAAACAAACACCUGCAGUUAGAGGGACACCUUCUCUGAGGUGGCCUUUUUGGAGCAAGCACAGCUGUAGCUACAGCCACUUCUGGGUGGAUGCUAUGGCAGAAGUUGACAGGCGCUUUCCUUGUUUGCAAGGGAUGGGAAUGUGGGCUUAUUUUUGUAACUAGGGUGGGCUUUGGCAGCUAUGGGUGUAGGGACUCUCUACUUAUCCACCCAAUAAACGUGUGUCAAGCAUCAUCUGUUCUGUGACCGCCUUGAUGGGUUUUGCUUACCUAUUUGUAUUUUGAGAUGGUUUCGAAAUAAUGAAACCCAAGCUGGCUUCAAAUUUACAAGCCUCCUGCCUCAGCCUAGGGAGUGCUGGGAUUACAGGUAUGCACCUCUAUGCCCUGUUGGCUCAAUAGGGGUCUGUUCUGUUUCCUUCCCCGGCUUGCUUACAUUCCUGGGAGGGUUGGCCAUCAGCACACAACAUUCUUGUCACAUUUUCCUCGGUUUUCAGAGUCAGCACGUGACAGCUUGUCCGCAUGACUAAGGAGCCAGGCAGGAUUUCCACACAUCCCCCUCUC
rnacentral:lncRNA from 1 species